AAUUAGAAAAAAAAAUUUUGAUUAAAUAUUUGACAUUUAACAAUCUUCCCUAAAUCUCUCCACAUUAAAUAUACGAUUAGUUACUAAAAUAAAACUUCCAAAAUAUUUAAUAUCAUUUAAUUACUACAAAAUUAUCAUUUUUGAUAUUGCUUUUCUCCAUGACUAUAAAAAUUCGAUUAUAAUCAUCAAACCGCAGAGAUAUUUGAUAGCAUUUAAUUACUACAAAAUUACAAAAUAUUUAGACAAUAAUUCAUAAACAUAUCAUAAAUAAAAUCAACAUUAAUAAAAUAAAUGGUUUUUUUACGGGACGGGUUGGCGGGACGGGUUUGGCAGUACGUUACUUAAUAACAAUUGUAAACUAUAAAAUAAAAAUAUUUUAUAGAUAGAUAAAAUUUGCAAACUUUUAUGUAUACUAACUUUAAAAAAUAAAUUGUUCCCGCAGUGUAACGCGGGUUAAAAUCUAGUGGUUUUGUAAAAUUAUAGCUAAUUCAGCCAUGCUCAAAUAAACUAGA
rnacentral:sRNA from 1 species